AUGGGGAGUGCUACAGAGGGAAACCACGCCUGCCACACGGCCUCAUACGGUGUGCUGCGAGGGACAGCUUCAUCCCUGAAGGCGAUGGGGAGCCACUGGAGAAUGCAUUUCAUAUUGGAAGGAGGGAUAUCUAUGCAUGGGGAAAACUCCAGAAAUUAUGAAAACUCUGAAGGACAGCAUGGCCAUUUUGGAAAAGCAAGACAAAAAACAAGAUCUAGAGUGUACGAAGAGUCACUAAGAGGCACAAAUAUGAAGGAAGGACAUUUGCAAGAACUGGCCAGAGAUCUAUAAAUCAGGUAUGUCAAGGUUUAAUAUACUAUUUCCCACCUUGUCACAUUAAGUGGUAACAUUUAUAUUUUAUUAAUAAUUUCAACAGCAACAACGUUUAGUACUACAACAUAACCACCACACCCACUCUUUAUUGAAGACCUACUAUUUGCUAUGUGCUUUGCUUAUAUUAGCCCCAAUUUUUAUAAUCCUAGGGCAUAGGGGAUUAUUUUCCCAUUUUACCAAUUUCUACUAACAAGAAAAUUGAACAGAGCAGAACAGUUAACCCAUUUACACAAGGUUAUAAGCUAAUAAGUUGCAGAAUCAGAAUUUGAACCCAGGCCCAUCUGGCUUCACACUACAAAAGUUUUUAUUUUUAUUUGAAAAUGAAUUUUUAAUGAAAUAAUGCUUAAAUUUCUUCUCUUUCCAUAAAAGUAUGAACGACCUAUUUAUACUACUACUCCAGAAAAGUAUAUUGCUUUUUAAAAUAGAUUCUUUUGGUAAUAUUUGGAUUUAAAGUUUCUGUUGAAUUUUAUUUAAUCUGGCACCAACUUUCAAAAGCAUAAUACAGUAUUUUCAUUUUGUAGGUUCUAUACUUAUUUUAUAGGAGGUAAACUUUUUCAAUAACUGCAGAGGUUAACAUUUUGUCAUUCACAGGAGUUAAUGUUGAGAAAUAAGGCAUUUGUUGUAUAAUUCCAGUCCAUUGGCAAGGAAGGUAAUGUGCAAAUAAUUUAGGAAUUUUCUACAGAAGAAAGCAGCCAUUGUGCCUUUUUGUGUAUGAGUACUUGAAUUUGAUUCUUACUUCAUUGAAAAACUUACCCAUGUUUGUGCCUUGUGGCUUUUUAAAAAAUAAAACAAUACGUAGUUAUUAU
rnacentral:lncRNA from 1 species